UUGGCCUACGGGAGGCAGCAGUGAGGAAUAUUGGUCAAUGGCCGCAGGGCUGAACCAGCCAAGUCGCGUGAGGGAUGACGGUCCUAUGGAUUGUAAACCUCUUUUGUCAGGGAGCAAAGGGCGCCACGUGUGGCGCUUUGCGAGUACCUGAAGAAAAAGCAUCGGCUAACUCCGUGCCAGCAGCCGCGGUAAUACGGAGGAUCCGAGCGUUAUCCGGAUUUAUUGGGUUUAAAGGGAGCGUAGGUGGAUUGUUAAGUCAGUUGUGAAAGUUUGCGGCUCAACCGUAAAAUUGCAGUUGAAACUGG
rnacentral:rRNA from 1 species